GGGUGCUCGAGUGGCGAACGGGUGAGUAACACGUGAGUAACCUGCCCUUGACUUUGGGAUAACUUCAGGAAACUGGGGCUAAUACCGGAUAGGAGCUCCUGCUGCAUGGUGGGGGUUGGAAAGUUUCGGCGGUUGGGGAUGGACUCGCGGCUUAUCAGCUUGUUGGUGGGGUAGUGGUUUACCAAGGCUUUGACGGGUAGCCGGCCUGAGAGGGUGACCGGCCACAUUGGGACUGAGAUACGGCCCAG
rnacentral:rRNA from 1 species